UACGAAGGGGGCUAGCGUUGUUCGGAAUCACUGGGCGUAAAGGGCGCGUAGGCGGCUUUAUAAGUCGGGGGUGAAAGCCUGUGGCUCAACCACAGAAUUGCCUUCGAUACUGUAGAGCUUGAGACCGGAAGAGGUUAGUGGAACUGCGAGUGUAGAGGUGAAAUUCGUAGAUAUUCGCAAGAACAUCAGUGGCGAAGGCGGCUGACUGGUCCGGAUCUGACGCUGAGGCGCGAAAGCGUGGGGAGCAAACAGG
rnacentral:rRNA from 1 species